AACCUAUGGUAAGGGCACCUUCUCAGUAAGUCUUUGUAUCUCUCUCAUGCAUCAUAAAGAGUUUCUAAGUGCAUCUGCACAAAUGAAGAGAUAUCAUUACGUAAUUU
rnacentral:snoRNA from 1 species